rnacentral:lncRNA from 1 species
CCUAUAACAUAUUUUCUAGUAUACCAAACAAUCCUAAAGCAUGGUUCCUAAAGAAAGUAAACAUAAUAAACCUAAGGCAUGAUUUCUAAUGCAAAUAAACAUAAUAAACCUAAAGGCAUGAUUUCUACCCGAUUUCCCUCACAAAAAUCGUAUAAGAAUUACCUCCCCUUUUACUAAUUGCCCUAAUAUCUGUUUAUAAGGAUUAUUAUUACAGACCAUAAAUGAAUUACAUAAUGAAUAAAAGCUAUACUAUAGGUAGCCUAAAAUAGGCCCAAACUGAACUUGGAAAUACCAGGCCUUCAAACAGUCCCAAAUGCCAUAGUCUCAUGAUGUCCAAUAAGGGUAUCCUAGUGCGUCAAAGUUCCUAAGGGCCUUAGGGACCUUGAGCAAUGCUCACACCAGGAUCCUUUUAAAUAGAAGAGUAGUUAUCUGCUGUGUGGAAGGGCUAGCCCCAGUGUGCCAGAGUUAGGAGGAAUCUCGUGGAUUCUUAGGUAGUACACACAUUGGAGGGGCAGAAUUUAAGUAAUCUAGGAGUAGAAGUGAGAGUGCUUGACAUAGUUGAGUUUUUUGAAGACAGUAUAGAGGUAAAAUCCUGAGGAGUGAAAAUACUUUAGGAGUAUUAAUAGUUUGGAGAAACAUACUAGGAGUGAAAAAUAUGUUGAAAUACCUUUUGAAAGAAAGGAAGGUUCAACAAACAACAACAUAGUCACAAAAACAUCACAUUGCCCAGUUUCAACUUUACCUUGUCAAUCAGUUCUAGAUGUACAAAUAGUUACACAAAAGGGAGCAGGGGUUGGGAACACAAGACACUUGAAACAUGAGCACAUAAGAAGAAGGGUGAAGGCAGUCAUUUUGGUUAAUAGAGACACAGAGCAUACAAGAAUACUGAUUUAAGGUCUAAAUUACAAUCAUACUUAGUGAUAAGCAUGCUAUUUAAGAACACACAAGACUUAAGCACUGCAAUAAACAUGUUAGCUAAACAUAGUGAGACAUAAGUCUAGAUACAGAGGCAAUCAUGCUGAUGAAUAUAGGAAGGAUCACAAAGAUUCAAUCAUACAAAGUAGCCAUACUAAUUGAAGUCCAUAAGUAGUCAUGCUAAUUGAAAUACAAAAAAGUCAUGGAUUCAACAGAAGUAAAGCAACAGACAAGAGAGCACAUAGGUUUAGGCUUCAUAACAUAAUGAAUGGCAGUAGGAAUGGAAACAUACCAGUUAAAGAUAGCAAAACAAAAGGUAAAAGUGUGCAGAACGUAGUGAUCUAGCCUUGACUUUCAGUCGGCUAGACAAUAUAGUAAACACAAGUAACAGAAAGGUUUUAGUGAGAGCAAAGUUUGUGUGUGUGUGUGUGUUUCUAAACUGUUGUUCGUGUCCUUAGAAGAAUAGGAGUGAGAGUAUAUAUAGCACUUAGUGAGAUAAAAAAAAUAAGGUAAAGAGUGAAUCACAGCUCAUAAAAUAAGGGUAAUCAAAUAAUUAUAGAAUCAAUUCAUGUAAGCGAGUUCGGAAUAGUCCCCUUAAUUAGGGGUAAUCACUUAAUAGCAAAAAAAGGGGUUGAUUAGGGUAAGGAAUCCAAAUCAUACCAAAUAGGAAAUCAGUAAGAAUCCUCAAAACCAUACAGAUAACUUAUUAAGGCAUCAAAUAAUCAAAUAAGGUAAAGGGAGUAAUCAAAUAAUCAAUCAAUCUUUACAAGGGACAGAAAAUCAAGGAAUUAUUCCCAUAAAUGACUCGGAUUGAGUUUCAAAUAGGGCAAGAAGUGGGUUUAACAACCAGUUAGGGUUAGAGCCCAUAAAUCAAGCAAUCAAUCACAUGAAUAAGGCUAUCAUAGGUAAUUAGAGACCAACCAAGGGUCAGUCAAUCCCAUAAUAGGCAAGAGAUGCUAAUUACGGAUCCCUGGAUUACGGUAAGUGAGCAGAAAUCAAUAAUGAAUCCGAGAUAAUUUAGUUAAUCAAUCAAUUAUUCAAAUAAUAACGGACGAAAAUGUUGAAGUUACACAGUCAACAGCCAAGCAAUCGAACCAGAAACAUAACCAUGUGAGAAAGAUUAAACAAACAUAAGGAUCUCAAAAAACUUUUUACAAAAACAGAAGGGGAAACCCUAAAAUUUUAUAAAUACUUAGGGUUGAUUAAUAGUAGGAGGAUCAGGAGAAUCUUUAAGAAACAGUCAUGGAAACUCAAAACUACUUCAAACACAGAGGUUCGACCAACAAAUAAUGAGAAAACCAACCAUAAUAUAACAAAGUGCUAAAAAUCAGUUAAUCAGUAAAGAAAUAAGGGAACCUUAAGGAAAAAUCAUUGACGAACUCAAAAUCGCUCCAGAUCUACAAGGAUAUGGACAAACUCAAGUCCAAACAUUAGAGUUUUUGAAGAAAAGAAAGGGUAAAGAGAAUCUGGUCUUGAAUCAGAGAUUUGGGUCGUAAAACAUCGAUAGAAAGCAGUCACAGACCAUAGAGAGAUCCUUGAAGAGCCUCGAACAAGAUCUGGCUAGAUUUCUUCAAGAUCCUUCCAUGAAAUAACUAAAUCGGGCAACCAGGAGAAGUAGGAGCCUUAAACGGCCAUGGAAUCCAUGGAACGGGUAAGAAUCGAAGACAUUAGAGCUAGUUUUGGGUGGCGGCGAUUAGUGUUAGAGUUUGGUCUCAGAAAGAAUCAGAGAAGAGAGAGUUUUAGGGCGGCGGAAAUGAAAAGA